rnacentral:rRNA from 1 species
UACGGAGGAUCCUAGCGUUAUCCGGAUUUACUGGGUUUAAAGGGUGCGUAGGCGGACCCCUCAGUCAGCGGUGAAAGUCUGCGGCUCAACCGUAGGAUUGCCGUUGAUACUGGGGGUCUUGAAUAUGGUCAAGGCGGGCGGAAUGCGUGGUGUAGCGGUGAAAUGCAUAGAUAUCACGCAGAACGCCGAUAGCGAAGGCAGCUCGCCGGGCCGUUAUUGACGCUGAGGCACGAAAGCGUGGGGAUCAAACAGGAUUAGAUACCCUGGUAGUCCACGCCGUAAACGAUGAUGGCUGGAUGUUGGCGAUACACCGUCAGCGUCUGAGGGAAACCAUUAAGCCAUCCACCUGGGGAGUACGGCCGCAAGGCUGAA